rnacentral:rRNA from 1 species
AAAUUGAAGAGUUUGAUCAUGGCUCAGAUUGAACGCUGGCGGCAGGCCUAACACAUGCAAGUCGAACGGUAACAGGAAUCAGCUUGCUGAUUCGCUGACGAGUGGCGGACGGGUGAGUAAUGUCUGGGAAACUGCCUGAUGGAGGGGGAUAACUACUGGAAACGGUAGCUAAUACCGCAUAAUGUCGCAAGACCAAAGAGGGGGACCUUCGGGCCUC